UGUGAUUGAAAAACAGAUCCAUGUGUAUAUACUUAGAAAAAUUAGAUUACGUAUUUCAAUUCAUUUGCCUGUAGUUCAAAAACCAAUCCAUGAGUAUCUAAAUAGAAAAAUUAGAUUACGUAUUUCAAUUCAUAUGCUUGUAAAUCAAAAACCAAUCCAUGUGUACAUACUUAGAAAAGUUAGAUUAAGUAUUUCAAUUCAUAUGCUUGUACUUCAACAACCAAUCUAUCUGUAUAUACUUAGAAAAAAUUAGAUUUUGUAUUUCAAUUCGUUUACUUCUAGUUCAAUAACAAAUCCAUGUGUAUAUACUUAGAAAAAUAAAAUAUUGUAUUUCAAUUCAUUUGCCCCC
rnacentral:lncRNA from 1 species